rnacentral:rRNA from 1 species
AGUGAACGCUGGCGGUAGGCCUAACACAUGCAAGUCGAACGGCAGCACAGUAAGAGCUUGCUCUUACGGGUGGCGAGUGGCGGACGGGUGAAGAAUACAUCGGAAUCUACUUUUUCGUGGGGGAUAACGUAGGGAAACUUACGCUAAUACCGCAUACGACCUAAGGGUGAAAGCAGGGGAUCUUCGGACCUUGCGCGAUUGAAUGAGCCGAUGUCGGAUUAGCUAGUUGGCGGGGUAAAGGCCCACCAAGGCGACGAUCCGUAGCUGGUCUGAGAGGAUGAUCAGCCACACUGGAACUGAGACACGGUCCAGACUCCUACGGGAGGCAGCAGUGGGGAAUAUUGGACAAUGGGCGCAAGCCUGAUCCAGCCAUACCGCGUGGGUGAAGAAGGCCUUCGGGUUGUAAAGCCCUUUUGUUGGGAAAGAAAAGCAGCAGGUUAAUACCCCGCUGUUCUGACGGUACCCAAAGAAUAAGCACCGGCUAACUUCGUG